ACAGGAAUAGAAACCCUGACUAAGACAAUCAUGAAGGUGGUUUUUCCAGGGCAAGGCUUAUCAAUUGCACUCCUGUUGUGCUGACCCCUGUGAUUUCCCCAAAUGUGGGUAAACUCGACUGCAUAAUUUGUAGUAGUGGGGGACUGCAUUUGUACUCUCCCCUG
rnacentral:snRNA from 1 species